rnacentral:lncRNA from 1 species
GUGAUGAUCUGUACUGACAUAAAAGAUACAAAGCUGACUGGACUGCUCUAUUUGUAUUACACAAUCAAGCUGAUCCUUGGAAAUAAUGGAUGGUUUAGUUAUAGUUCUCAUGAAAGUAAUCUUAAGUCGGCCAUGUUACCAGGUCUCAUAUCCAGAAGUGGAAAAGCUAUAGCACCAGAGUGCCUCUCAAAAAUAUCCUGAAUACUAGAUUGUCCCUUAUCAUUAGAUACCCAUAUCACCCUGUCAAAUAAUUAUUAUCCGUUAUGAGAUGUAUAAGUUAGACAUGUACCCUUCCAGUUCUUGAUAGUUUAUCUUUGCCUCCUUGGUCUGCAGGAGGUCAAAUUCCAGUGCCCUUUUUUCAUGCUCUUUAAUUUGAUUACUGAUCAGUUCAACACUAGAGCUUCUCGAUUAUAGUUUGGCCCAAGAACAUGCAGCCAUCGAGGUUAUUAAGCAGCUUGUCUAUUUGCUAGAAAGAUCCACACUACAUAGAGCAAAUGGAAUUAUGUUUAGGCUUUGCAAAUUGCAACCUCUUGUUGUCUUUGCACUAAUUAUUGCUCCAUCAAGAAUAUACCUGGUUAUUUCCACUAUAGAACCAGCAUCAUAUCUAUAGGAGUUCCAACAUAAGUUCUCUGACCAUAUGUGAACCAUAUGAAGAUUAUUUUUGUUGCAAUAGACAAAAUUGUCAUAUGCUCGUUAUUUUAUAUAGUAUCAAACAAAAUUUAUGAAUGCACAAGCAUAUCAUGAUUCUUUUCUUCCAUUUAUCAGUUUCUUUUCACUUUUUUUCUUUUUAAGACUUGUAUACUAACAAGCUAACAAAUUUAUUUUUCAUCUGUCUGAUACUUCGACACCCAAAUAUGUAAGUCACAAAUGGUGUAAUGAUGAUAACCCCAGCAACACGUCAGUAGCUAUAAUAUGUAUUAAAGCUUUCAUACAUAGGGAAUAAUAGCUGUAAAAAUAUAGCAACCAAAAUCCAAAUAUUACUACUAAUAUAUGAGAUGCCAUCCAUAACAGCCAAAAUUGUCAGUGACAACUAUGCUACAAAGGGCUUAAAUUCAAUUGAGAAGAAUCUUCAAAAAGCCACCAAAAUAAUAUAACGAGGGUGGGUCUUGUACCUUGAAGCAUUUGGUUUUAUAAUCUAAGGUGCUAAUAAAUUGUAAUUGUCUAUCUUCUGAGAUUGUCUAUGAAGAUUUCCCAAUAGAUAGAUCAACAUGAACAUAAGCGAUACAUGCAACGAAAAACAAGAAAACAGCAGAUAUCAACAUCAAGGGUUCUGCAAACAUGAAAACUGGGUUGAAAUCAUAGUAGACCUGCAGCAAAAGGACAGUCAAGAUGAAUAAAUUAAUUCCAGUUCCUGUGUCAGUCAAGUACUUAUUUUUCAACAUCAGCACUUUCUGUGUCCUUGUUAUGUUUAUGUCAAGGCAUAUGCAUAACAAGAACACAGGGCCUUGAGUAAAAUGAAAUGUAUUGAAAGCAUCAAUUUCACUAAAAUGAGAAGAACUACCUGGAAAGGGGUGUUAUGCUCUGGCACCACAUUUUUCUUCUGGAGAACUACCGUCGUCCUCCCAACAACAUCAAGAUAUGAAUAAGUCAUCUGCAUAAUGGAACAAAUAAAUUCUCAUUCUGGUCAGAAGGCAAUCGCAGGCAUAACAGGAAAGACAAUUAGUUGUAUAAUAGAUUAUCAAUUCGCUAUAGAAUUUUCAGAUCUCUCAAUAGCAGCAACUGUGCUUUAUUGAUUCAUGUUUAUUCAUAGUUUUGUACCACAGAUGAUAUAUACAAAUUAUCAUAAUUUUGAGUUUUGAGGAGUUAUGAGCCCUGCUGUAUCGUGCUGACAUGGUAUUGGCACAAGGAUCUGGGCCAUGCUGAUUAAUAAAAUAUGCCCUUUUGCACACUUCUAGCUUGUGUUAUGUAGUGCAGAUCUCGUGUGCGUCAUUCUAGUGCUGGUCAUGUUGUAUAAUUUUCUCAUGCCAGCACAUUAUGGACAUGCAUGGGUGAUAAUUAGGGCAUAAAGUAUGAACAAAAAGUUGUGAUAAACGAGUUAAAUGGUUAGAUACUGAAAGGUCUUCUGAACAAUGCAUGUUGUCAAGAAGCAAAUAAGGAGUUGGGAAUGUUCAAGAGAAACUAUUUACAUAUAUGACACAUGUUUCAAUGUUGCAACAACAUUCAAAUCCUAGAAAAUGUUAAUAAAAGCCUCUUAAACAAAGAUGCUUCACUUCCAAUGGAUCACAUAGGGUGAUCCUUAGUUCCAUAAUUUAAGAGAACACUAAGUAUCUAACUUUUUGAUAAAAAUUGGAUCCAGCAGUCAUAAAGCGUAUUGAAAUUGCAUGAUAAUUAUCUCAUUUUGACAGCAUGAUUAGUCAAAGUCACACAGCCUCUGGAUAUUCAAGAUAUAUUCACUUUGCAAUAAAAAAUCGUGGGAUCAUUAACUUCUAAGAAUAAUAUAUAACUUGAUCAAACAAAAUAAUUGCAAAGUGAAUGCAUUUUAUAUAUUUAGUUGAUAGAUGCAUUUAGUAUAUUUAGUUGCUACCUAUCAAGAAUGAAUUGAAGAAUCUACUUUGGUUGAUUAAGACCACUUAUUCAUGUAAAAUGCCAAGGUCUUUUACACUAAGUUGCAUGAGAAAAUGCCUGACUAUCUAUAAGCAAAUUAAACAUUUCACAGAAGUUUAAAUAAUUUAUUUUCAAAGAAAAGAUGCGUAUUCUCACUACAUGAAUAGAACAUCAAAUCACAAAUUCUGAAUGAAAAAGGUCUUUCAAAUAAUUUUUCCCACAGACAUCUCAAGAGGAACUAGCCCAAAUUAGCAUGGACAUAUUAAUCAACUAUAACACAAAGCAGCUAACUAAAACAGGAAAAUCUAAUAUACCCUAUGCUGGUGCACCUGUAUCAGGUCAUAUAAAUUUUCUUGCAUAAACAGAAAAUAACAGAAAUUUUUUUUUGCAUAAAGGAUCUCCCCAGGUGAAGCAUUCAUAAUUAACCCUUAUCUAGGAGACUAUGAACAUUGUCCAAACAAGAUAUACUUAACCUAACUUAUCAAGGUUGCCUAUUUAGAGUAUGUCAGAGUAGAUAUAAUUACCUCAAGAUGCUGAUCCACUGGGAAGGGAACUGCAGCUGUAGGGUUUCUUGAUCCUUCAGGAAGAAUGACCUGCAGCAAUACAGAAAAAUAAUUUUUCUUUCACAAAGUCUGCGAAAGCAAUUUUUUUCUCAAAAUCUAGUUUCCUAGUAUUUGUAAUUAAAUAUAAUUAAAAAUGAACUUCCUAUAACAAGAAACCCAAUCAAGUAACUUUGCUACAAAAAUUUUGCCAUUACUUAUUCCACAAUUAAGACAAGGAUACUUUAACUUGCUUGUCAUAUCCAUAUCAAGUACAUAUCAAGUAUGCAUUAGACAUGAUACUUGGACACUCAUAGGAUCAUCAACCAUUGUUAUAUAAGACUUACUUUAACUGUUAGAUCAUCAACCAUUGUUUCAAUAAGAGGGCAUCCAAAACUGAAGUUGAGGUAACGCCGGCCAUCAUGUGAUUCAAACAGGAAAUCUUGCAAUGGCAGCCCAUAACCAAUGGUGAAAGUGGCCUUCCACCCUCCAAAUAAUGGGUACCUAGGUUCUAUUUCUAGUUCCGACUGAAAAAUGCACAUGAAAAAGAUAUGUUAGCAUGUAGCAUAAAGCAAACCAUCAAGAAAUUGUAUCAGAUACCCUGCAUACUUAUUUAUAUAACUAAGGAUUUUUAAAGAUGGAAUGCAAUUACUCAUUAAAAUUCUGAGCAGGCAACAUAUGCAAAUCUUAGUAAAUUAAUGCCAUUUUAGUUUAGAGGCAUAUCUAACUUUAUCAAAUGACAGAUUAGAAGUCAGUCAAAAGUGACGACUGGAUGUGUUGGCCAUGUAUCAGUAUUGCAUCAACUAUCAUGCUAAGACCAUGCUGAUGGUUAACACACUAAACAUGUCAAAAACUGGAAGGCUAACACAACUUCAGACAGUGUCACAUUAAACCAAUCAUUUUAAUAACUGUGCCAAUGUAACUUGCAUUGGAUCAGCAGUAACAUGCAUGGUGCUCAUACUCAGCAUCGGACAUGCCAAUCACUAUGCAAAUGAAAUUUUUGAAGAAAAUAUUUUGCGUUAAGUUUUAACAAGUACCUUCUGGGAAUCAAUGUGCAAAUGAGAUGAUGAGAUGUUUCCAAUCUCAUCACGAUAGUAUACUGAAUGAACUCGGGGGGGCAGCUUCAUAAGAAGGUGCCUAAAGGAAGCAACACCGCUGACUGAUUGCUUAAAUUGAUAUUCAAGCCUAGCAAGAAUGUUUGGUAAGAAUAUCAGCUAACAAGCACUAAGCAUCUUAAAAACCUUUUACAAUAAUAUAGGCAUGUCCUUGAGUAGCCAAUUUAAACCAUAAAUAAAGAAAUGAUAGAAAUCAAUAAGACCGCAUACAACACUAUCAAUAUAACCACUUCCAACAGUAUAAUGAAUAAAAAAUUACUAACAGACCAAUCAAUAAGCUACAUAGAAAGUUCCUCUAAAUUUAUUGCACAGAUUCAUUAUUGGUAAAAUCUCUCAUUUCUCCCUCUUUCAUACUUAGGAGGCCGAAUCUCUUCAAAUUACAGAUAAUCAUCAUAGGAGGCUCAUAUCCUAUCAACUAGACAACUGUCUAGCACCUGAUAGUGAAUGGAACCUAGGCCGCACAUUUAGCGCCUAACACUUUUAAAAAUACCAACGGCAAGUAUCCCCAAAAGCGAGUGAUUCCAACUAGCUCUUAAGUUAUUUUGGGUGAUAAGAGUGAGGCAUCAAAUGGCAUAGAUCGAUAAAUUUGGCAAAUCAUGAUGUGAGUUUCAUAUGCAGUUCUAAAUAAAAUUCUUAUCGGGUCUUCUUUUUUGGAGUUUAUGUUAGUUGUAAGUUGGUUCUAGUCCUAUAGGAUUGGGGACUAUAGAACAAAGUAUUACCACAUAUUAUCAGGUCUUCUUAUCAGGUCCUAUAGAACGAACUACGAAGUACUACUGCAUAUUAUGUUCUAAACUAUAGAUGGUUCUAAGUAAAGGAAAAUAUAAAAUUCACAAUUUAUUCACCAUAAGCUAUCUAAUAUUUGGGACAUAAGGCUUACAUAUUGCUUUACAAGCAAAGAUGUCAUGUAUUACUUUAAUAUCAAGGAGUUCUCAUCUCAAUUUGCUUCAUUAUAUACAUUAUAUAUUUUGUUCCUACUUCCUAGUCCAUAUUUCAGUAUAUGAGCUGCAUUCUUGAGCAAGCUAUACCUUAUAUACUGAAAUAUAUCCAUCAUCAUAUGAGAUAUCAUUGCAAAUAAGUAGAGUAGAAGAUGUAGCAGGGCUCUACAUGUGUUUCCAAUUAUAUCUCGGACUAUACAAACUCAAAAAGAGGUUGGUAUUGCUGCUGCAAAGGAAUAGCAGUUCUCAACUUCCAAGAUUCCUGCCAAGUUCUCUUCAACUUGGAUUUAUGCAGGUCACUAUAGAUUUUGACUACUACUAAUUUUCAGGAGAUAUAAAAAUAGGGCAGCAAAGUAGCCAAAUGCGACUUUGGGUUUAGAGGAUCGAAGGAGUAGAGGAGAAGAGAGACAAAGAGAUGGUAAUAAGAAGACAAAUCCAGCAGCCAAUUUUCUCAAUUAAAAAAGCGAUAUGUUGACAAAUUAUUUAGUUCAACGAAAAAAAACCAUUAAGAUGGAAACUAUUCAGCAUUUCCUCGUCUUAGAAUUUGGAUCUAUCUGUUCUCAACAAAAUCAAUGUGGAGGUUAAACAAGAUUGGUAUUCUGUUUUGAAAAUUAUGGUACACAUAAGUAAAGUCAUGUACAUAAGUGGAGGUUAAAAUAAUGUUCUGUUUCUGAUAAUACAAGGACAUUACAGAUUACUCCUCAAUAUCUGAUAUCAAACCAUUAGUUGAGGCCUUUCAAAAAUAACGUGGCACCAUUUGUUAUAUUGACUAAAUGAAUAUAGUGACAAGAAUGUCUUUACCAAUUCAAGACAAUCAGAGAAACAUGAGAUUAAUGUAAAUCGAACAAGGCCUACAAGAAAAUCAAAAGCAGAAAAUGAUAUCGGAUAUAAAAGCAUUUUGGGAGCAAAAUUGGAUAAUCUGCAUAAAUUUAAGACAUAUAAUAUGUGCAUAUAAAUUCACAUCUAUAACUAGAGUCACACAGUAUAGGGACUAUGAUUCUUAAGAUUUCCUGAACUAACCUUGAAAAAACUCCUUUGUGUCGUGCUCCAGCAUGUUUUAAUUUGUAAUGAUCCCUUAUCUGAAGGCUUCCCCAGUGCGAAAUUUCAAUCUCACGAACAAGUUCUUCAACAACUGCAAAGGGAUUGUUAUUCUCGAAAUGCACAAUUACUGGAGAGUAUGAAUAUGGUCCAUGAUCAUGGUAAGGGCCAUAUCUUAGCUCAGAACCAACACGACUAGCUGGGUCCACUCUUGUAAAAGAUUCCACUUUGUUACUGGGAGUCUUAAUACUCGUAAUCUGCUCCACGAUAUAAUAAGGUGACAGUAGAGUUGCACUAUCACGGUAGUACACAAGCUGUGGUUCUGAUUGGCUAAUCUCUGCUGGGAAGGGCUCAAGCAAAUGAGUUAGCACAUAAAGCACCUCCACUGUUGUUGCCUCACCAGACUUCAAAGGACUACGUAAUGAAACAGAGUAGAGCUGAGCACCAUUUGGUGCAUCUGGAGAUUCACUUGGAUUCACUGAGAGAGGCACAUAGGUCUUCUUUUUGCGUUUCCCUUCAGCUACAGAUGCUUUUAGUAUUGCUAAAUGCUCAGCUUCAGUAGGUGCGAAAGCAACAAGAACCUCCGAAACUUCAGAUGUGCCAGCAUUUUCCACCUAAACAAGUUUCAUGGACACUAUAUAUCACGGAACACCAAUCUAAAAGACUACCAGUGAGGAAAACAAUAUAGUGUUGCAUCAGCAGUAAUUUACGGAAUACAGUUGGUCUUAGCGUCAAGAAGAAAACGUGACGCACAAAAUAAUAUCUUUUUUUCCCAUUCAAUCAAACAUUGGGGAGAUGAAAGCGAGCAGUUUCAAUUUGAGUAGGCAAAGAUUGUACUAGAUAACAUACGAUCAUAAGACAUCAUCAAAUGGUCAAAUUAAGUAGAAUCAAAAAGAAAUCCUGAAAGAUGUACCUUCAAAGUCAAGAAAACCCUUGCGAUGGGAGCGGUGACGUCGAUCUGCAAACAGCGCCGAGUGCAACAACAGUUAGAUCUAAAGGAAUCCAUGGAUCUACACAAGACGAGCCAACCAAGCAACGAAAAUAAAGGAGAAGAAGAAAAGAAAAGUUGGACGGAAAUUUCUUUUCUCCGUGCCGGGAGAUCUCACCCUUCUCUCCGCGCUGAGGACUCGAAUCUCCGGCGAUGAAGAGACAAGUUGGAGGAUCGAGAACAAGGAGAGGAGGAGAAAGAGAAAGACCGCCAUGGCGGCGCUGGUUCUUCCCAUUCUUCGACGACUUCCACCCUUCUCCUCGUCCCUAGGAACUCGCGACUUCCCGACCUUCCCAAAUAUUUCAGAUAAAAUUACAUAUGUAUCCCUCCCAAGUCGAUGAUUUAUGUGUCAUGUGCCAAUAAAAUCUCCUUUAUUUCUUACAAAACCUAUAAUUCGAAAACCCUUCAAGGAUAAAUAUGUAAAAGCAGUUUCUUCAGUUUUCUUUUUUAUUUUUGGGAUUUUGUUAAGAUGCACGUGCUUGCACGUGCCAUCUUACAAGAUAAAUGCUGAUGAUUUAAUUAGCAUAAAUAUUUUUAUUCUCGAUUACAGAUUAACACAGGAAACACCGAGCACCAAAUCUAGCUUUGUUCAUACCAUCUCCACUCAUCAUUGUUUGCAAUAUCAUCUUUCACCCACAUAUAUAUAUAUAUAUAUAUAUAUAUAUAUAUAUAUAUAGUAGGUUUAAAAUUAUUGUAAGUAUAAAAUUAUUAGGAAAAAUUCUCCAAAAAAUUUAUUAUUUUUUAGUAGGACACUAUUUAUUUUCUAAAAAAUAAUAGUAUCUCUAUUAUUUAUCUCGUUGAUCGUCACCUCUCUCUCUACCUCUGCAUCUUUUAAAAUGACGUUCUUAGGAGCAUGCCUUUAUUCGAUUUUACCUUACGCUUUUGCGUCUUACUAAAACUUCGCUUUAUGCCUAUGCAUAUUAUGCAAAGGAGGAGAGAGAUAAAGUUUCAUCGUAAUUGUCCUAUUUCUUUCCAUUGUGAUCAAUAACGAUGAUGUGCGAGGAAGGCUCGGUAGCAAAUAUGAUAGAACGAGGUGAGGCACAGGUGACAUCAUGGUCACCUUCUUGCCCUUCGUCGAGACCAAUGAUCGUGAUGCAUAAAGAGAGCCCAACGACCGAUGUGGCACAAGACGAUGGAGUAAAAGCAACAUCACGAUUGCCUCCUUACCCUUCGUCGAGAUCAACGAGUGCAACAUGUGAGAAGAAUCCAAUGAUCAACGAGACGGUGGGACGAAUGUGACACCGUGGUCACCUUCUUACCCUUAACCUCAUCCUCCGCUUUGACACUGCUGGCUAAUGGCAAUAGCUUGCGAGAGGAUGAAGGCGAGCAACGAAAGUUAGGUAGAGAUUAAUUAUAAUCCCAUCUUUGAUUAAAAAAAAAAGUACUCUAUCAAACAAAAAAAAAUUAAAAGCUUGGGAUUUUUUGUUUAGAAUUUAUCGAAAUUAUCAAGUCAAAUUUAAGAACUAUAUCAUGAUAUUAUUUUGUUGUCGAUCAAGAUAAAAUGCUACAUUUAUUACAAAGGAAAAAAGGAAUCCCUAAACAAACAACGAACGCUAAGUGCUUCAUGUUUCAGAACCUCGAACAAUUCCCCGGCAAACCAGUGCUCCCAUCAACCACGACGAUCUCCGCCUUGUCGCAGCCGAUCACAUCCUGUCCAAGCUUUGCACCCGCCGCUUUCAGCCCUUUCAAGGAGGCUGCCUGGUUGAACAGGUUGAGCACCGGCAGCUUGGAGGCCGGAGGCAUCUUCCCCGCAGGCAGCAGGCUGGUGAAGUCGUCCCCCAUCAAUGGCACCUCGAAGUCUUCCUUGUUAUGCUUCACCACGUUGCCGUUGGCGCUGAUGUGCGCGCCAGGCUCCAUGUGGUUGGUGGAGAAGCUUGCUUGGCUCGGGAAGUUGGGGUACAGACUGACGUACCCUCUUAGGUACAUCAUGUCGAUGAGGAACUUCUUCCACGAAGCCUGCCACCCGUUGGUCCUCGACUUGGGAAUCUGCACCGGGUUGUUCUUGGCGUCGUCGGUGAACCUGGCGUUCAUGUAGGCGUAGAACUCUCGCCAGUGCUUGGGGAAGAAGAGCGCGCCCCAGCUGCAAGGGAGCUGAUGGAGGUACGGCGUGUUGGGGUGGAUCCGUUUGAAGAACUCGGUCGCGUUCCACUUGGGCCUCUCCUUCACCACCUCCACGAGCCGGGGGGUGUAGAGGGAGAUCGAGGAGAGCUCGGGGAGCGACACCUGGGGGUCGUAGUGGUAAGCCAGGAGCGCGUACUUGAUCCACAGGUAGUAGUAGGGGGAGACCUCGAUGUCGUCUUCGAGGAGGAGGCCAAACUCGUCGUCGUCGGAGGGGUACCAGCUCUCGCUCACGGCCCGGAUCAGGCCGCCCUGGAUGAUACGCCGCCGCACCAGCUUUGGCCCUUGCGCCCAUCGGAAGGACCCGACGACCUUGAGAGUCUCCUCGUCGACUUUGCUGUCCAUGUUGAAGCUCAAGCGGACCUCGUCGCCGAGGUAAUGUGCCUGCUGCAGAGAUCUGAGAAGUCUCUGUAGAGAGGAUGCUCGGUUCUGGGUGAUGAUGUUCACGGUGAUCCGCAUCCGGUUCCAAUCUGCAACGAACAGGCCGUGGACGUAAGAAACAAGGUUACAUGUGAGCUCGGAGGGUUACAUUUCUUACUCGGCAAUGCUGUUGGCCGGAGAUCAGCCAUCCACAAGGCCUUGGACACAGCGGUCUUCGGCAGAAGAACCAGAGCAGUGCCAUUUGCGCUGCCUUCGGCCGCCAUUCUUAGCGCGUUCUUGACGUUCGCAUCGAUGCCGUCGACCGCGAUCAGCAGACUCGGGUUGUGGAUCUUGAGGAGCCCCUUCAAGCUCGAGUACACAGCCUGAACCACCGGGACCUCCGAGUUCGACACGCCUGAGAUCGCUCCGACUUCCAGAUCAAAGAUCUUGAACCGCCUCUCCUUGCACACGACCUUCGGCCACCCGAGAACAGCUACAGCUCCCUCGCAGGAGCAGGAAGAACCCCCGCCUGAGACAGCAAUGUAGGCCUUCCUCCCCACCGUCUUCCGGAACUUCUCGAGAAGAGGGGAGAGUGCCUUCACUUCAUCGAGGGAAUGCGCGUAAAACAGAGCGUCGAUCUUCUGAGGGUUCAUUGCAGCCCACUGAGUAAUAUAACCGGUCGACAAAGCCCGCCACCAUUGAUCAUCCCUGACCUGGACGAUGUCCUUGAAGAUGACAGUGGUUUCAGAGACGUAAGCAAGCCUGUGCUCGCUGUCUCCCCACGUCUCCUUGUCGUUUGGAUCCACAGGCAGCACAUACGACCCAGCGUUUCUGUACUUCUGAAGCUGAUAACUGCACCGAUGCACGCAACAUGAGAAUCGACUCGGUGAAAGCCAAAUAGAAAGCAAAGACAUUACCUGAGAUGCAGGUCUUCACCGGUCAUGAAAGUGAAGGGUGUCUCCACAAACAACGUCUUGACAAGAUCUGCAGAUAGAAACCAAGAGCUCGACAGGAAAUCAACCUGCACAAUCUUGUCCACGGUGAUGUCAUAAGCAGGAUCGGGCAAGUAGAGGCCUGCUUCCUUGGAACGGAACUUUCUGUAACUUGGAAAGGUGAAGUCCUUCUGCCUGAAAGGUAAGAUUCUCCCAAUGCUCCCCAGGACUGAGUUCCUGUACUUGUCAGUCCCUGCAACAUGGGACAAGAUCUCCAGCAUUUUCUUGCCGGGGAUCAUGUCAUCAUCCAGGAUAUACACGAAGUCUGCCUCGGUCUGCAGGGCCAUCUGAAACCUUCCGUAGUAUUUGAAGUCGUAGCUCGAGCUGAUGAAGCUGAUUCUGGAGUUGUUGUAGCUCUCCACGAUCCUUCUCAGUGAGAGCUCGCUUGGGCUGCCGAAAGAGAGCACCCAAACAUGGUGGAAAGGCAGUGUCUGGUUGAGCAAUGAAUCGAGUUGUGCACAGAGUGUCUUCCUCUUGAAAUGGUUCAAGAUGACAGUGAUCUUUGGGAUGGAAGGACCCUUUGGGCUCCAUUUCGACUCCAUCCUCAUAAGCUCGGCAAGCGUCUCCGUCCCCGAGCUCUCCUCCUGGAAUGCCAACACUUCAUCGUAUAGCUCCCUCUUGAGCUUGAUCAUCAACGCAUCGUCCGAUUUCUUCUGUACGAAAUCGAUCUCUUCGUGCUCACAGACCUCGGCGAGGAAGUCGCCGGCAGGGACCUCUUGGGUGCUCGACGGGGCGUGCGAGUGUUCGACGAAUUGCGUCCAGUGGUGGGCGAUCCGGGAGGCCCAAGAGAAGUCAGCUCCGCUGCGUUCGCCGACGGAGGAGCUCAUGUGAUACAAGAGGAAGGUAGCGUACAUGGCGAAGGCGAACUGAAGGCAGGUCAGGGCUGCAACGAGGCGGAAAGAAGCAAGCUUUGGAGUCUUCAUCUUGCUCGAUUUACCCACGACAUAGUCAUUGAGCAUCCCUUCCAGGUGCCGACUGUUUCUCAUGGUCAGAGGACGAAUGAAACCCAUCAAAGGAACUCGGGAGAUGUGGUAGAUCUGACGGAAAGCUAAUUCUCUUCGAAUUAUAUUCCUAAAUCUUACCAACUCACACGAGCAUCUGUAUAAACAUGGAGAAAAGAGCAGAACAUCGUACCUCAAAAGAAAGAAGGGAAACGGAGAAGCCAAUGUAGGUGUUCAGUCUCUGCUGCAGUUUGAUCUGUAGGUGGAGUUUGAUCUGUAUAAAUAGAGGAGAGGAAGAAGAAGAAGAUCUAAAGAGAAACUCAUACAUCUCUCUUUGGUGUAACACCGAAAUGCCUUCUGCCAAACAUUGCGAGUGGAAAGAGGAGAGGAUUUGAUCUUAGUCAAACAAUUUUUUGCAUGAGUUCUCACUGGAGUUGCAGCCAUGCUUCAUCCAGAGGUCAACAGAGAGACUUCUUACAUGUUAGUCAACGUUUGUAGAGGCAACAGCCAAGGAAACUAAUCAUCCAUUAAUGACCAGUUCUAAUCACUUUCUAUCCUCGGUGAACAGUAGAGAUCGAAUGCUCUCAUUACACAUAACAUCAGAACAGAGUGAAUCGCUGCAGAAACUGUGAUUUAAUGCAGAUAUUUUACUGCCAUCACCUAAGCUGGUUUGACUUUUAGACUCUCAGCUGCUGGUUGGAGAUCUAACGACAAUGUUGGAGUUUGACCACAAUCAAAUCUGAGACCAGAUUUGUGUCUGGUCUUGAAAAGUGUUGAUGACAGAAUCUGGGAUUCUAACUCACAAGAUCAUUUGGAGAUAUUUCGGAUGGAGAACAACUGGAUGAGAUAUAUGUAUGUACACAUGGCACUGUCAAAUUUAGGCAGGUUUGGCCUCAGAUCUUUGAUGAAGAGGUCAACUGGAAGAGGAGAGUCAACUUGACUCUCCAUGGGAGAGAUGUCAGCAUAGCUCCCAUUUCAGGUGACCUUUAAUGUCCUCAGGCUGUAAAAUUAGGCAUAGGAAUUUGUCCUAAAGAUAGGCAAGUACAAAUCUGCAGUGACUUCCAUCCCUCACCACCUUCCUUGAAGGAGCUCAGUGGAAUGGUGCCUUACUGUGAGAACACUGCAAGUUGGUAGGGGAGUCUGCUAAUGAGCAUGGAAUUCACACUACCCACAACAAGCUCACAAACUCCUACCAAAAAUCUUAGGGUUCCAUCUAAACCUGUGAAUCAUGAGUUCUUGUUUAAUGACAAAGUAGCUUUUUUUUCUUAUAUUAUUUUCCUAAUUGCUUACUCAUCAUUUAGAAUUUUUGACAUAACAUGUUUGCCAUCAAGUAUUUUAUAAUGGAGGUUGAAUUUUAUUUUCUGCAAUAAAAAUAUAUAAUUUGGAAAAGGUAGAUGGAAUUAUUUUGUAAAUAUAAUUGUUUUAGAAUUUGCACGACACUGUGAAUGUUAGUCCCAAUCAAUCAAGAAAAUAGAGGAUUGUUCGAAUAUGAUCCAUUACAUCAAUAUGUCCAAAUGUGAUACCAAAACAAAAGAUUAACAGUAUCUUAUGAGCAAACAGUUAGAUAUCUUUGCUAUUAUUUAAUAGAAAAGAAAUCUUACCAAAAAAAUUCAUAAAUUAUUAAAAUGGAUAAGGAUGUCAGAGGUUUUAUAUACGACCACCAUGUCUUCCUCGCUCUAAUAAAAAAUUAGAAGACAAUUGUAAGAAUAUGAAUAAAAAAUUAAUAUGAUCAAAAUUAGAAUACUACACGAAUGAGUGAAAACUAUCUGAAAAAGGCAGAACAAAAGAAAUCCCGAUUUGAGAACUGCCCUUAGAGAAAAUAAAAUGAAAUAAAAAUCCAAAAAAUUUUAUGUACAUCUUUGUACAUAUUUCAAAACAAAAAUUAAGACAUCACAGUGGGCAAAUAUGUAAGUAUGUACAAAUGUUUUGGAAUUUGCACGCAGUUGCAUGUCAAAAUCUAAUUGCUAAUAUUCUACUAUGAUUUAAGAACACUAAAUACCUCAUAUUGACAUGCCAAAAUCAGAUCAUUGUUAACUAAAUAACCAGCAGGCAUUCGGGAAACCACAUAAAAUGAAGCUACAAAGUGAUCAGUACCGAGAUCGAACACUCAAAAAUUAUGAAACCACACUAGUAAAGCAUUAACAUCAAAUAACCUGAAGAAAUGAGAGGCAAACUCGUCUGACAAACCUUGAAUUCAGCAGGCCCAAUCGAUAGUACUAGAGCAAAUAUUUCAUUGUGAAAUUACUAAUAAUGAAUCUUUAUUUUCCUAUUCAGCAUGAAUGCUGAAACAAAUCUUCUUCCAAAAUUCACAAAAAAGGAGUCACUCUACGACCAAUAUAACCCCAUACAUCACCCAUGUGACGGCUACAACAGAGCAAUGACCGACUCAUGUACAACGAGACCACUAGUAAUGUUUGAAAUACCAAGACCAUUAUCAAACACAUCAGCAGAUACAUCUCCAACCAAGAUAGCAAAUACGAUGAUGCUGGUAUCAACUAGUUACACCAUACAGUCUAAUUAUUUCUUGGAAUGAGGAUCUCCUUACCUAUAUCCACCUCCAUAUGGUUGCUGCGAACCAUAGUUGCCCAUACCCAUCAUGGGAUUGUAUCCGACCCCAGGCAUACCAGUUCCACCCAUAGGGGUUCCCAUCGGCGGUCGUGGCGGCAUUCCCAUGCCCAUAGGUUGAUUGAUGCUGCCACCGUAACCACCCAUUCCCAUACCACCAUUACCCACCGUGCCCAUUCCCAUACCACCACCACCCAUCAUGCCCAUUCCCAUACCAACACCACCCAUCAUGCCCAUGCCCAUGGUGGGAUUGGCGGGGCGGAUGAGGGUAUUUGCACCGGCGCGGCCAAUGCCAGAACCAGAUCCCAUAGCUUUGCCCAUUGUGGUUGUAGAUAUUGGGGUUGCAGAUACCUUCUUCUCUUCUUUCCUUUUCUCUUUCCGAUUUAUAGAAUCAAAGUCAAUUCCAAUAUCCGCAUGAGGAUUAAUUUUAGCUGCAUGAAAUUCAAUUAUGAAUAAGAGAGCACAAAAAAGAAAGCCAUGUAAUAUGGCUGAUGUGGAAGAUGCAAAACUUGCAUGGAUAUUAUGGUUACCAUAUGUAAUCUUUUGAGAUGUACAUGUGAUGCAUGAAUGCACUAUGAUGUCACAUAAAAGUACAAGCAACACCUCAAUCAAAAACUACAAGCAGAACAUCAAUCAUAAAACUAAGCAUAUGCAUGACCUGUAAACAAUAUAUUAUCUAGUGAAUCCUCAGUGCCUUUUCAUAAACAGCACAUUGGAACUGAGAAACAACUAAAUACUGAGUAAGAAAGACUAAACACUUACAUCCAGAUAUGUUCAGAUUGACUAGUCCUCGACUCAAUGUGUCAGCCCACACCGUUGACUUGGUCUCGAACUUAUCUUUUGAAGAAACAGCUUUCACGGGUGUCAAAGAUGAUGUAGAAGCGGUCACUUCCAUAGGAGGAGCCUGCAAGCCAGACUGUGAAAGAAGGUUCGGCUGGGUGGUCUGUGGAUUUGUUGGAGCAAUAGGACGAGCCUCCUGUGCAGUAAAUUGAGUCACCUGUGAUGCAAAAAUAGCUGGUGGACCUGACUGUAGAAGAGGGUUGCCCAGGACAUCUGUUGUUGCUACCCGGGAUUCCUGCGGAAUUACUGAGGCCGUGAAUCCUGUUUGUGGGGCAAGCAUACCUGAUAUAUUAUUCGGCUGGGUCACAGGUGCUUCUGAAGUUAACAUAGCAGGACCAGCAAAAGAGCUUUGUUGACCAUCCGAUACAGGAUUGUAAGUAACACCACCAAAAGAGCCAUCAAAGUCAAAGCUUGUGGUUGUUUCAAUCUUGGGAGCUGCAGGUGCAAGAAUUUCAGCACCUCCAGAUGAAAUUGAAUUGAAGGAAGAGACUGGUGGAAAAAUCUCUUGCUGAUUGGGAAAAUUUUCUUGAGUAGCUAUAAAAGGAGGAUCCCCAAAAGGAUUUUCACCAGCCUGGACAAAAAGGUCAAGAAGAAAGAAUCACACUCAGUCAAGCAAGAUAAGAUUGAUACAGUAAGAGUAAAACAAAUGCACGCAGCGAGAGGAAAGGAAAUGCCAUCACAGUUCACUGUAACUGUAUAACAAGCAAAAAAGAAAUAAAUUGUACUGCAGGACUUUUCUUGUUAAUGAGACUUCAUAAUGUCAUAAAAGUCCACACUGUAACAAAGCCUGUCCUGAUUUUGGUACAUGUACAUGUGCCUCAUUAAACAAUUAACUGCAUUGCAAGUAUCCAGGGAUUUACGCUAGUAAUUAAAUGAUCAAACAAACCUGGCUGAAUACAGCAGAUGCCGAUGAUGCAGCAACAAAAUCUGUCGCAAAACUUGAAUUUGCAGGAAGAUCAGCUUCAGUACCACUGUUAGUUGUAGUCAAUGGCACCAAUGCCAGAGAAUAAAUAGGAUCUGAUGCUGAUGCUGAUCCAAAUAAGUCCAUCUCAUGACUACCCGCAGCAGGUGGAGCAGCUGAUUGUGGGAAGAAACAAAGCCCUUGUUAUUGCUCAUUACAAGAUUGACAUGUUAUGACAUCAAAUCAAGAGAGUUGCAUCAAAAAACAAGUUACACUAGUUAUUAUUAAAUUUUGGAGUCGAUCAUAUUAAUUUAGUGAUCUCCAAACAAUUUGGCAUUCUUUAUUAGAAUUCAGUUUAUUUUUAUUUUUUCUUACCUCUUCAUUAUGCAUUUGUUACAACAGAACUAUGACUUGAAAUAAUCAUUACAUUCUAAUAUAAGAAACAUAUAUUUGUUUUAAAAAAACAUAAAAAAAGGCAGCAUUGAUAAGGUUUAGCUGCAGCUUUAGAAGGGGAGGACGACAAAUGAUAAUUAGGAGGAAAAACAUGUCAUUCUAUACUCAUGAUGUUAACUCAAAAUUAGUGAUGGAAAAUUUAAAAACUAAUGCAGGUAAAGUGAUUCGGAAAAGCAUCCUUAUUUAUGGGGUUAACUGCAAACCAAAACAUCAAUUGAUAACUCACCAGUACAUUGUGGCGGUAAUAACUAAAUAUUUGUCACAAAAUAAAACAGAACUUGGCCCUAUGUGACCCCCAAGCCUAUCCAGUCACCAUUUCUAGUGAAGCACUGUGUGAUGCAAAAACAACUUUUAUGAAACUCUUUGAAGAGUGUGCUAGUAGGAUUAAUACCAAAUCCAAUGACAUCCCAUGGCAUCAUCUACCAUAUCAUGCCAUCCAUGGCCUUAUGAUGCUACAAGUUGGUCUCUGCCCUCUCCAAGCCUCUCCAUCCACCAUUUCUUCUCUGUCUCAUGCAGUGGCAACAAACAUGCCCCAACUAUGGAAGCGAUGAUAGUGGCAAAUGUCAAACACGAUGAUAGUGAAUCUCCACUUAAUACAUAUCAUCUCCACUUUAACACAUAUAAUCACAUUUAAAAAAAAAAUCAUUCCUCCACUCCCAUUUUUCCUACCCUUUUCUUGUGACUACCACAGGAAGCAGUAACUAGCCUCUUUCUUCUUUCAAGUUUGAUAGAUCAGCUAGAAUUGACCAAAAUUGACCUGUUCCAGGUAGGUUUAGCCUAGUUGUCCAAGCAUGGCUCAUUCCAACUAUUUCUAACAGUGUAUAGUUAAUAUCUAGCAAUACAGAUGAGAAUUCAACAAAAAUCAAUGUUGUUAAAAAUGGCCACCUUGGGCAAUGAAACUAGGUCUCAUCACCUAGGCUUCAUCGAUUCAAACAGAUAAAUUUUUUGCCUUCAUCUGAAGAUCAUUUAUAUAUUAGUAAUGUGUUAGAUUCUCAAGGAAUAGGUUUCAAUCUUGGGUUAAAAUUCGAUCAGGUUGAGUGCCUAGGAGCAUAGAAUUAAAUGCCGCAAAUGUUGCUGCCACUAUAUACACCACAUAUGAAUUAAAUUUGAAUCAUUACUUUUUCAUUUUUUGCGCAUCUCAUCUCUAAAUCGGACCGGACAUACUUAUGGCCAAUGCUUAUCGACUUGACAUGUUCACGAGACCAGCUUUUAAACCUUGCUUAGGAUUUGUGGUGUAACCCAUUACAUCACAAUUACUGUUAAAAAUUGUUUCUCUUUCUUUGUUUCCCCUUCUUUCUCCCUUUAUUCCAGUGUGUUAUGCUUAUUUGAUCUAUAUCCCUGUUAUUGUUUAUUGUCUGUCCCCUAAGACUACACCCCCCUUCAUUAAUUGGUCAUCUACUGUAGAACAUAUCCUCUGCUAUAUACCAAAUUAAAUUUUUUUACUACUGAAUCUCAUUUUCUUUCUGGCCUCCCUUACUCUUCUUCAUUUAAUUCCAUGUUGUCCCUAUACUCUUUAUAACUCUUUUUCAAAAAACUCUGAUAUUGGCAUCCAAUCUUUCACAUACUUGCACCGAAAAUAAGUAACCAGUAUCUUCCUCUGGUUCUUCUUUUAGCAUCCCUGUGACUUCAAAAUCCCAACACAGAUAGCUUAAAAGGUGAAUCACCAGUAAAGCAGCAUUGAGAUCAGAGAAAAUCCAUUUCUAUUUGAUAUGUUUAUUUGAAAAUUAAUUAAUCUAAAAUGAUCCUAGCCUCUGGUAAAAAUUUAGGCUGCUGUGAAGUCCUGUAGAGAGGUCAGAGGAUUGAACCCGAAGUUUUAGAAAUAAAAGAUAGUAGAAACCAACUAACCACAUUGUUUGGCCACAAUUAGUACCUAUUUGUUCUUAUAUUACCAGAUAAAUAGCUCAUAAAACUGAUACAACAUUUUCACAUAAGCAACAAAGGAAGAUUAGAAAUGCUACACUUACAAAAGCCACAAUCUGCAUUACCUGAUGCCAUACCACGUGGAUCAAACUCAUCAAAACCGUUAUCAUUGUUGUUUGUUGAUGCAGAUACACCAGCCGGAGCAUGGCCUGAGCCUUGGUUUGUAAAAGGAGAGCUUGCUGCUGGUGCAAAAGGUGAAGAAGUUUGGUUCCUACCUUCUGAAGAAGAGUUUGCUCUAGGAGCUGAUGGCGAAGAUGCUUUUGGCGCAGCUGCUGUGAAAUCACUUUCAUUUCUGCCAGUGGAUCUGAUGUCAGAGUCGACUUGCACAAUUCUAAAGAACAUAGUAAUAACAGACACAUACCUAUCUUCUUUUACAUGAUUUUGAGCAUCUUUUGCAACUUCUUCAUAGCUUGGUGGUGCACCAAUACUCUGCUCAGAAAGCCUACGGUCCAGCUGCCUGAUUAUAUAAAUAAUUAUUAGUCCAGAGAAAGUGUAGCCCGAGUUCAACACAACUUGAAUACACAAGUCUCAGAACUAUAAUGUCUAUAAAGCAGAAAUUUCAACAGUUCACAACCUUUCAUCAUGAGGAAGAUUGUCAGCUCUGCCGCCUCCACUUCUGCAACCGAGAAGAGAAUAAUUAAGCAUGCCAUAUAAUCAUUCUUUACAGAAGCUAUGAUAAACAGCAAUUCAUUGGAUGGUGGAAUAAAUAGAUCAUACCAUUUAAAAUUAGUAAAUAGGGCACCAAUUAGUAAAACAUAAAUUAAUAAUUUAACAUGCCUCGACAAUUCACAGAGGAUUUCCUACUUUAAGAUCAACAUAAUCAGAAUUGGCAUCAGUAAAAAAAACUUCAUUCUUAGCAAAGUAAAACCAAGUAUCAUUACCGAGAUGAGCGGUCAUCAUCAUCAAGGGAACGGUCUCUGCUGAGGCUCCUAUUUCUUGAACCAUACUGAUAAUCAUCAUUUCCACGACCUCUUCUAUAGUCAUCAUCUCUGUAACCAUCUCUGCCAGAACGUUCAUCAGCAGACCUACCAUAUCGAUCCCCCUCUCCGCCAUAAGAGUCCCGACCUCUACCAUAUUUGUCAUCAUCUCUAUAUCCCCAUUCUCUUUCCUUUCCAUUACCAUAUCGGUCUUCAUCUCUACUAGCAGAACGAUCAUCAUCAUAACGAUCACCAUAGCCUCCAUGUGAACCAGGUCUACCAGUUGAAAACGUACUUCGAUAUCUAUCCAAGAAUGGAAGAUACAUCAAAUACAUAAAGUGAAAUAUCGCUUAAGUUCAGAAAUCUAACUCACUUGUCCCUGUUAGCAGCAGCUUUUUGCCGAGCUUCCUGUAUUCUUUCUUUAUCAUUCACUAGAGCUACAAGACUCUGGGAUUUCCUUCUAACAUUGUUUCCC